GCAGUGGUGGUUUAGUGGUACAGUUCUCGCCUUCCACGUGGGAGACCCGGGUUCAAUUCCUGCUCAGUGUU
rnacentral:tRNA from 1 species